rnacentral:rRNA from 1 species
AUUGAACGCUGGCGGCAUGCCUUACACAUGCAAGUCGAACGGUAACAGGUCUUCGGAUGCUGACGAGUGGCGAACGGGUGAGUAAUACAUCGGAACGUGCCUAGUAGUGGGGGAUAACUACUCGAAAGAGUGGCUAAUACCGCAUGAGAUCUACGGAUGAAAGCAGGGGAUCGCAAGACCUUGUGCUACUAGAGCGGCAGAUGGCAGAUUAGGGAGCUGGUGUGAUAAAAGCUUACUAAGCCGACGAUCUGGAGCUGGGCUGAGAGGACGAUCAGCCACACUGGGACUGAGACACGGCCCAGACUCCUACGGGAGGCAGCAGUGGGGAAUUUUGGACAAUGGGCGCAAGCCUGAUCCAGCAAUGCCGCGUGCAGGAUGAAGGCCUUCGGGUUGUAAACUGCUUUUGUACGGAACGAAAAGCCCUGGGUUAAUACCCUGGGGUCAUGACGGUACCGUAGAAUAAGCACCGGCUAACUACGUGCCAGCCGCCGCCGUAACAC